UUGGAAGUUUGAGAUGGUUAUUAUUUGACUCGAUAAUGGUUAUCUGAACAUAGGUGGCUUCAUCACCUCAAAUGCAACAGAACUAUCACCAUACAAUUUCAUAUGAUCUUCUUUAUUUUAAAUAUAUAUGUUCUUCACUAGUAUAGAAAAAGUUUGUUUCUUUCCGCUGAGCAGUCACAUAGUCUUUCCCAUAGUCACAGUCUUUCUCUUUCCCAUCUCCAACUUGAAUUAACUGAUUUAUUAAACCCAGAAGGGAACUUUACAGAAGAUUGCCAGGUGGCCUGCUCAACAAGCAGUGAGCGGAGAGCAAGUAGGAAGGAUAUGAGUGUCUCAGAUCUGCCAAAGAAGGAGGGAAAUGUACUUAAAGGGCAUGAGGGAGCAAUAUUAGCAGCGAGGUUCAAUAAAGACGGGAAUUACUGCCUCAGCUGUGGGAAAGACCGAACCAUCCGACUGUGGAACCCUCACCGUGGCAUCCACAUUAAAACCUACAAGUCCCAUGGCCGUGAAGUCCGUGAUGUCCAUGUCACCUCAGACAACUCCAAAUUAUGUUCAGGUGGUGGUGACAGACAAAUCUUCUAUUGGGAUGUGGCAUCCGGUCGAGUCAUUUGAAAAUUUCGAGGCCAUGAUGGAGGUGUGAAUGCUGUGAAGUUCAACGAGUAUGCAUCUGUUGUAGUCUCAGCUGGAUAUGAUCAGUCAUUGCGUGCUUGGGACUGCAGAUCUCACAGUACUGAGCCUAUUCAGAUAAUUGACUCAUUUACGGAUAGUGUAAUGUCUGUUUGUUUAACAAAGACUGAGAUUAUUGGUGGAAGUGUUGAUGGAACUGUUCGCACAUUUGACAUUCGUAUGGGAAGAGAACUAUCCGAUGACUUGGGACAACCUGUGAACUGUAUAUCUAUGUCAAAUGAUGGUAACUGCAUAUUAGCAAGCUGCUUAGAUUCAACUAUACGUCUCCUCGACAGGACUUCUGCUGAAUUGCUUCAAGAAUAUAAAGGCCAUACUUGUAAGUCUUACAAAUUGGACUGCUGCCUUACCAACUCUGAUGCCCAUGUAAUCAGAGGAUCUGAGGAUGGUUCGAUCUUCUUCUGGGAUCUAGUAGAAGCAUCUGUUGUAUCAAGUAUCCGGGCACACUCAUCAGUGGUAACAAGUGUCAGUUAUCACCCUAAGGACAACUGCAUGAUUAGUUCUUCCGUAGAUGGCACCAUUAAGGUGUGGAAGACUUGAGAAAGCAACAAUGUGCUGUAACAAUCUGGAUUACCCAUGCAAGACUAAUUCUUGGUAGAACUGUGCAUUCCAAGCACCUGUGCCGAAUUGGAUAUGAUUUCAGUGGUUGAUGAAGAUGCAUCCCCCCACAAGAUUAGGAUCCUUUCCCUUGGAUUCGAGUUUUAAUGAAGAAAGGAAAUCCAUUUUAGAUACUAACAAAUCAAGUCUGAUGGUGUCUGUUCAAGAGAGAGGACGACUUACUUUUCAGAGAACCCUAUGCUUGGGAUGCAGAGAGGAAGAUGAGGUCAAAUCCAUAUUCUGUUUCCCCGCACAUCCAAACCUUGGUAUCCUCAGAAAACAUCCGUUUUACAUCAAGUAUGCAUCAGUCUAGUUCAGCUAUUGUUUGUUGGACUUUGGAUUAAUUGAUGAAGAAUGACAAGUAUGCAUACACCAUGGAGCUGUUUUUGGGGCAUGCUGGAGUGAUGAAAGUAUUGAGUAUUUGUGGCCUCAAGAACAAUGGGAUAGUGACUGCACCAAAAGAUGUAUGUUGCAGGCUUAAGAAAGUAGCCAGCCGGGACAUUGUGCUCCACCUG